rnacentral:rRNA from 1 species
GGCUACGACCAUACCACCCUGAAUGUGUGUGAUCUCGGAAGCUAAGCAGGGUCGGGCCUGGUUAGUACUUGAAUGGAAGAAGUAGCAU